rnacentral:rRNA from 1 species
AUGAUAUUUGUGGUGCCACUACACAUCCAAGUUGCUCAGGGAAUACACACACAGGUUGCAGAUGCAUUUCUAUGGUUGGCUUUAACCAUGCUCUUUAGUAGUAGGUUGUCCGGUGAAUUGACACAGCUGUUCGUUUUGAAGAUAAACUUGUUUGAUAGCCACAGUGGUGAAUCUUGCAGUGGAGCUACUGAACUGCAAUCAGAUACUUACAGAGACUCAGAAGGAUCACUGUUUCGCGCUUCCCCUGCUCACAUUAAGCCGGCCUCCAGCUCUGCCUGCUCCCCAACAGCCACCGCGCACACAGAAGAGGAGAAGUAG